rnacentral:tRNA from 1 species
GCCUCUAUAGCUCAGUUGGUAGAGCACUCAUCUCGUCAACGAGAGGUCUCCAGUUCGAUUCUGGGCGGAGGCA